UACAGGGGGUGCAAACGUUGCUCGGAAUUAUUGGGCGUAAAGCGCGCGUAGGCGGCUACUUAAGUCGGAUGUGAAAGCCCUUGGCUCAACUGAGGAAGUGCACCCGAAACUGAGUGGCUUGAGUACUAAAGAGGGUCGCGGAAUUCCCGGUGUAGAGGUGAAAUUCGUAGAUAUCGGGAGGAACACCGGUGGCGAAGGCGGCGACCUGGGUCGAUACUGACGCUGAGGUGCGAAAGCGUGGGGAGCAAACAGG
rnacentral:rRNA from 1 species